GUAUGUCUCCCUUAUUUUUAAAAACUAUAAUAUUUUCUAUAUUUCAUGUGACAAGGUCAACCAUUCCCGUCAACACAUACAUUCAUAGAUAACAGCUGAAAUCAUUAAAAAAGUCGACUAGAUUUUGGUAACAAGCACCAUCAACUUGAUAGGUUAAGGCUCUAGCAUAGGCCUAGUCUCGUUACUCUCGUAUAUGAUAGAGUGAGAGAACUUACAUCCCCCAAAUUCACCAUUACACAACCAUGUGCAAAGAUUCAUAUGAGGCUUACAUAUCAUGGAGUAAGAAACAUAAAGUUUACAAAGUCCAAACAGGCAAAACUUUUACCUCUAGCAGCAGUGUUUUCAGGGGAUAGGCUGGCGUUGUUAGCAUUUUCCCAUCAAUAAUUCAAUAAUAACUUUCCACGGGUCUUAAAAUAUACUAUAUAGGCAUAUAAGCCAACAUGAGAAGUUCUCAAGAUGGAGUAUUAAACUUCCAUUGGAACAAUAAAUUUAGCUGCAUAUUCCAAAAAGCUAGCAAAAUCUAAUUCAGUUCAAUGGAUAGUAAUACUCAACAAACUACUAAGAUAAACGCAUAAGAAACAACCCCCAAAAUUCCAUUAAUCACUAAGCCAGAAGACAACUUCAACACCCCGCUGGCAAACCAAAAAUCUAAGAAUAUUAUCCAAACCAUCAAAACAUAGAUACCCACAACACGAAUAAUUUUCUACUCAUAUCUAAACAUUAAAAAGAACAAAACUUUGGAUUAAAACA
rnacentral:misc_RNA from 1 species